UGGUUCUGGCAUCGAUGAAGAACGCAGCGAAAUGCGAUAAGUAAUGCGAAUUGCAGAAUUCCAGUGAGUCAUCGAAUCUUUGAACGCACAUUGCGCCCUUUGGUAUUCCGAAGGGCAUGCCUGUUCGAGCGUCAUUAUCACCCCUCGAGCCCCCGUGCUUGGUGUUGGCGGGAUCCGUCACCGGAUCCGCCCAAAGAUAACGACGGCGGCCUGUGGUUCCCCCGGUGCAUUGAGCUUUCUGAGCACGUGCCGGAUGAGGGCGCCCGGGCUCCGGUCUUCCCCCCUAUUCAUCAAGGUUGACCUCGGAUCAGGUAGGAAUACGCGCUGA
rnacentral:misc_RNA from 1 species